UACGUAGGCAGCGAGCGUUGUUCGGAAUUACUGGGCGUAAAGCGUGUGUAGGCGGUGCUCUAAGUUUGGUGUGAAAUCUCCCGGCUCAACUGGGAGGGUGCAUCGAAAACUGGAGUGCUCGAGGGUGGGAGAGGUAAGCGGAAUUCCUGGUGUAGCGGUGAAAUGCGUAGAUAUCAGGAGGAACACCUGUGGUGUAGACAGCUUACUGGACCACUUCUGACGCUGAGACACGAAAGCGUGGGUAGCAAACAGG
rnacentral:rRNA from 1 species